rnacentral:pre_miRNA from 3 species
UCUUACAGAUGAGCAAAGAAAGUGGUUUCUUAAGCUGGAACCCACUCCUAGUGAAGAUGCUGUGAA